rnacentral:rRNA from 1 species
UGGGGAAUAUUGGACAAUGGGCGAAAGCCUGAUCCAGCCAUGCCGCGUGAGUGAAGAAGGUCUUCGGAUUGUAAAGCACUUUAAGUUGGGAGGAAGGGCAGUAAGCGAAUACCUUGCUGUUUUGACGUUACCGACAGAAUAAGCACCGGCUAACUCUGUGCCAGCAGCCGCGGUAAUACAGAGGGUGCAAGCGUUAAUCGGAAUUACUGGGCGUAAAGCGCGCGUAGGUGGUUCGUUAAGUUGAAUGUGAAAGCCCCGGGCUCAACCUGGGAACUGCAUCCAAAACUGGCGAGCUAGAGUAGGGCAGAGGGUGGUGGAAUUUCCUGUGUAGCGGUGAAAUGCGUAGAUAUAGGAAGGAACACCAGUGGCGAAGGCGACCACCUGGGCUCAUACUGACACUGAGGUGCGAAAGCGUGGGGAGCAAACAGG